rnacentral:rRNA from 1 species
AGCUGAGGGGUGGUGCAUGGCCGUCGUCAGUUCGUACUGUGAAGCAUCCUGUUAAGUCAGGCAACGAGCGAGACCCACGUCCACAGUUGCCAGCAUACCCUCCGGGGUGAUGGGUACACUGUGGAGACCGCCGCUGCUAAAGCGGAGGAAGGAGUGGGCAACGGUAGGUCAGUAUGCCCCGAAUCUCCCGGGCUACACGCGGGCUACAAUGGUUGGUACAAUGGGCAUCUACCCCGAAAGGGGAAGGAAAUCUCUUAAAGCCAAUCGUAGUUCGGAUUGAGGGCUGCAACUCGCCCUCAUGAAGCUGGAAUCCGUAGUAAUCGCGUUUCAACAGAACGCGGUGAAUACGUCCCUGCUCCUU